UCCGCUAAGGGGAUCUUUUGACACCUCUAAAAAUGGUGUAGAAUAAGGGGUGGGCAAGUCUGGUGUCAGCCGCCGCGGUAAUACCAGCACCCCGAGUGGUCGGGACGAUUAUUGGGCCUAAAGCAUCCGUAGCCGGUUCUUCAAGUCUUCCGUUAAAUCCAGCCGCUCAACGGAUGGGCUGCGGAAGAUACUAUAGGACUAGGAGGCGGGAGAGGCAAGCGGUACUCAGUGGGUAGGGGUAAAAUCCUUUGAUCCAUUGAAGACCACCAGUGGCGAAGGCGGCUUGCCAGAACGCGCUCGACGGUGAGGGAUGAAAGCUGGGGGAGCAAACCGGAUUAGAUACCCGGGUAGUCCCAGCUGUAAACGAUGCAGACUCGGUGAUGGGCUAGCCUUGUGCUAGCCCAGUGCCGCAGGGAAGCCGUUAAGUCUGCCGCCUGGGGAGUACGAUCGCAAGACUGAAACUUAAAGGAAUUGGCGGGGGAGCACCACAAGGGGUGAAGCCUGCGGUUCAAUUGGAGUCAACGCCGGGAAUCUUACCGGGGGCGACAGCAGAAUGAAGGUCAAGCCGAAGACUUUACCAGACAAGCUGAGAGGUGGUGCAUGGCC
rnacentral:rRNA from 1 species